GCUGGUCUUGAACUCCUGACCUCAGGUGAUCCACCAGCUUUGGCCUCCCAAAGUGCUGUGAUUAUAGGCAUGAGCCACCACGCCUGGCCUCGAAUAGUUUUGUUACUCCCCCAAAACUGCUUUGUGCUGCCUUUUUGUAGUCAAACUAUUCACCUGCCCUUAACCCCAGCUCCCCCGCAUUAGAAACCACUGAACCUCUGAUCUGUUCUUUACCCUAAAGCUUUCCCUUUUCCAGGGUGUAGCGUUUGUGGAAUUAGAGAGUAUCUUACCUUUCAAGUCUGACUUCUUUCGUCUAGUUUAAUGCAUUUGAGAUUUAUGUGUGUUGUCAGAUGUAUCAGUAAGUUUGUGUCUUAGCAGUGCUGAGAAGUAUCCCUUUGCGUGGAUGUACCUAGGUCUGUUUAUCCAUUCAUCAGCUGGAGGACAGCUGGGUAGUUUCCAGUUUAGGGUGAUUACAAAUAAAGCCACUAUGUACAUGCACCUCUAGGUUUUGGGUCAACAUAAGUUUUCAUUUCUCUUAAGUUUCAAUACUUAGGAGAAUGAUUGCUAGGUCAAUGGUAAGAGGGUGUAUAACGCUACAAGAAAGUGCUAAACUGUUUUCCAAAGUGAGUGUAGUAUUUUGUAUCCCCACUAGCAAUGAAAUGAGAGCUCUGCUUGCUCUGUAAGAGGCAUUAGUGAAUGUGAAAGUGCUUUGUAAAGAGUAAGGGUGUCUCACAGCGUGCCCAGGUGGGAAGAUUCAGAGGGGGCAUUUCUAAACUCUAAACUCCUGUGGGCUCCUAACCCAUCCUUCUGAAUGGGGACUGAAUACUUCCAUUUCCAGGUUACUUGCUUCUGCAAAAGGGAGACAGGGAAGUCUCCUUCUCUUUUUGCAAAUGAGGGCACAGCACUGCCUCUCGUGGUUGAGCCAGUCAUUAUUCAGUAGGAACAGCAGUGAGAUUCUCCAGCCUUCAGUUUUGUUCCUGAGUUCACAAAGUAAAAUGCAGCGUGAUCAUUUGGAGCAUUCUUAUGCUUUGUGACAAGAACGAAGGCCAUGGAAACAGCCACGUGUCCAAUCAGAAUGUCAGAGCUGGCAGGGACCUUAGCAAUUGUCACUUUAGAGAUGAUAACCUAUUACAUCCCCAGGUCUCCAGAAUCCCAGCCCAGGACCCGUUCCUUCAGCCUUCCUGGAUUGCCCUGGGUGGAACAAGAUCAGCUCAUUUAGCACGUAGCCUCCCAGAACACAAGGCAGCGUCCCACCAUGGUGGGAUGGGACCGGCUUCUCUAUCCACAGUAGCUGUGCAUGCAGAGACAGAAAUGAAGCCGUACUGCCGGGUGCACCGUGGCCAGAGAUCCUCCUUCCUGGUAUAUACUCCCAGAGCCUUUGCUUCUUUCAUUUCAGUGCGCAUUUCUGAGGCACCUUCACAUUUCAAACGUCCUGAGAAUAUGUUUAAUUAGAACUUGGCCAUACAGCCUUUUAAAACAAAACAGAAGGGACCGGCUAAUUAUAUCGCUCAGCAUUCUGUGGCAAACAUAUAUUUUUUUAAUAAAACACUUUCCUAACCAGAGUAAUCCCUGGAGAUGCAAAUCCUCAUUUAUAAGAAGUUUCCCAAAGGGAGUUAGAGAGAAGAUGCCUUAUAAAGAAAAGAGACAAAGAGAGUGGGGAAGUGUUUUCAAAGAGCUUUUAAAAGAUACACUCAUUCUGAGGUUGAAUUACAGAUAUUUUAAGGGUACCAAAUUUUAUUUCAGAUGUAAUCCUUUCCUGUGUUUUUGAUCAUGUAUUUCCGUUUUUUCCCUUUUUGAUCAUUGCCACAAAUGCCCAUAUUUCUCUUUCUGGUGUCUUUCAUAAGUGCAAUAUUUAAAUAAACAAGGGAUUUUCCCAAAAUGCACCUCAUCUCCUACUGUUUGUCAUUUCCUUGUCUUGCUCUGUAAAUAACCCUGUGUCUCACAGCAGAGCUUACACAGAAUGAAUGCAGGGCAGUCUGUGGUCCUGGGGAGGACCUUCCCUGUAAUCUCCGCAGCCCAGGACAGGGAGAGGGAGGAUUUAGGUCCUGCUGCAGCGUGUCUUCAGGAGUGGAGGUCGGCUUGGGACAUUUGCAUUCAUGAGGCAGCGGCAGAGGGUCAGAGCAAUAAUUGUGCCAGCUGAUGUUUGCUGGGGGGUUUACUCCAAGCCACGCCACACGCUAAGAAAUUUAGGUAUCGUACCUCAUUUAAUCCUCACAAUACUCACAAAAUAUAGUUGUUCUUGCUCCAUUUUGCAGAUGAAGAAGAUGAGGCUGAAGGAAUGCACAAAGGAUCUCACAGCGGUUAGAAGGGUUAGAUCUUGUAUUUGGACUCAGGUCUUCCUGCCCUGGAACCUGGUGCUGGGCGCAUUAGGAGACGUCACGAGGCUCAGAGAUGCCACCCUUCCUAGAACGGGCGCUGUGCCUCUCUUCUCCACACACUGCAGCGGGGAUAGGCACUGCGUUUUCAGAUAAGUUCCGUGUGCAUCAGGGGCUCGGUGGGAAAGAGAGGACACACUCAGAUUAGGAUUAUUCAUGGAGGAUUCUCCAAAGAGGCUAUUUGGAAAGGGAACGGUGAAGGAGAGCACAAGAGAAAAUGAACAGAACUGGUACUUCCCCACGUCUGAAGGGGAUGGGUUACUGGAAGCCAGGAGGAGAGUGUGGUAAGAGCCACUUUUAGAGGAGUUUUUACCUUCAGGAGAAAGGGCCCAAGAAGACCCACAGGGAGGUGACCAGGGAAUGGCAUAUGUAGACUACACUCUCUUCUCUUUCUCCACUCUCCUGCUAGGGCUCCGCAUUGGAUAAACCCCUGCAGGAGCAAGUGAAACUGCCACCCAGGUCUGCCUCCCAGGGCACAGCCCACAGAGAGCUCUGAGGCAAGUGGUAGAAAACUAGCACAGGUGCAGUGCAUCUUGCAAAGCAACCAGCCUGUGCUGGCCCUGGGCUGGAAAUGGGAAGAGAGGAGACCAUAGCACUGCCCUCAAAUACCUUAGAGUCUGUGGAGGAGUCAGGCGGAGAGAGGGGGUGUUCCCUUGGCAAAGGGCUCCAUGAGCAGAUGCAGGCCAUGGGCGAUGCUCCUGCAGAAGUUUUGAGGUUUGCCCUGUGUGCCUGGAAGGAGCGUGCCCACUUUGACAUGCCUCGCCUCCUGUUGCCAUUGACAACAUGAAGGCAAACUCCUGGGACCGGGCCUUUUUCCUUGAGAUAAAAUAUGUAUAAUUCUCUGUUAUCAAAUGAUGAUUACAUAAAAUCUAAUUGAAAAAAUAGAAAGAAGAAAAGAGAAAUCAUUUAUCAUCCUGUUCUCCAAAGACAACUGUGAACGGCUUGGUGGAACUCCUUCCAGUGGCUUUUCUCGGAGCUUUGCCUCUUUGGAUGUGAUUAUUUAUCCAGUAAGAUGUCUCUAAAAUAAAGCUACUAGAGGUUGAAGUACCUAGCCAAGGGCCAGUCACAGAAUAGACACAACUUGGUUGAUAACUAUUGCUGUUCAAUGCACACCACCUGCACCAGACUCUGCUGGUAUCACUGCACCAGACUCCGGAGCAGGCUGCUUCUCUGGAGGAGGAUAAAGACAGGAAUGCUAUCUAGGGAGAUAAGAUAGCACCAGCAGGCAUCAGGAGCUUCAGAGAGGAGGACCCCUAGUCCUGGCUGCGUAUGCGCUUAUGUGUGUCACUUGCGAUGUGCAUAAUCGUCUUCAGUCUUAUUUUUUCCAGGUAACUGCAAAAGCUAAUUUCCAGCUCAUUUAGCUCUGUUCUUUCCCUAAGCUCCUCUAGUCUGGCUUUUGUCUCUGCCACGCCUACCAAAACCACUCUGCUCAAGGCCAUGGUCAAUGUCUCCAUUGCCUAGUGCAGGACCGUCAGAGCUGCUCUGGGACAGAUACACCAGAUGCAUCAGUUUCCUGAUAGAGCAGAAUCUCUUGGGGGCCUGAUGCCCACACAGCCUGACGCUCUGGGAUGGAUUUCUGCACAGAUGCAACCUCUGUGGGCAGAGGCCAGGAUGAGGCUUAUGUGGCUGUGAAGACCAGCCUUCGAUCUGUUUUCUGAUGCAACCACAGUGCUGCAGGCUCUGCUUCAUCUUGGAGGUUUGAUGGGUGCAAACAUGAGGGGUUUCUGGGUAGAGCUGAGGCCUGGGCCCUCGAGUCUCCUCUGUCUGCACAGCUGUUAUGAGGUUGGCAAAGUGCCAGCCAACCUCAGUGCAACCCUCACCAAGUUCUCAAGGAACAGCCUCUGAAGGUCCUUCUCUAUGCUGAGUUCUAGGGAAGGAAAAGGAACUCAAGGAAUAGAAGAGCUGAUCUGCCCAAGUCAUACAUUUCUUGGGGGCACAGGAGGACUACAUCUCUCAUGCUCACUUGCAAUUCACUGUGGCCACUCAAAUUAAGGUUUACCAGAUGGAACAUGAGCAGAAGUGAUGUGUUCUCCCUCCAAGCCUAACCCAUGAAAAACCUACUGGGAACACUCCCCCAUGCUCUUUUCCAUUCCAUGAGCUGGAUGCAGAUGAUGGCAAGGAACUAGUGUGAGGUGGAGCCGUAAAACAGAGGGAGCUGGGAUCCCUGAAUGACCACAUGGACAUACACAUACACCAACGACUGCUUUGUAAGCAAGAAAUAAACAUCUACUGUAUGGAACCUUUGCGUGGAGGGUCUAUUUAUUACAGCAGCUUAGCUUAUCCUGACUAACACAAUCUCUGCUCUCAGGGAGUUUAAAAUUGUUUCAAGGAGGCAAGAUUCACUCAUACAAUUCUGGAAUGAUAGUAGGUGGCUCAGAAGAAGGGUAGGUUGUAAGGUUUGGACUUUCAGUUCAGAAGUCACAGACUGCAGGCCCUUGGGUAUUAGACUCUCCCAUUGAAGCCCUGUAUCUGGAAAACUGGUAGACUGGGGAGAAGGCCCUUCUGGAAGGGAACACAUUACAGUCAAGGGUUCAAAAGUAGGGCUUGAAGCAAGCAAAGAUGAGAUCAACCAUGGUAAUUCCUAGAAAGGGAAAAAAGAAAAUGGCCUUUAAAUACCUAAGAGCUUUGACUGCUGCAGGGAUGAGACAAAAGUCAGACUUUCAUAACUUCUCUCCUGUGACGCCUCGGAAGUUCCCUGGGGAGGACCCCUGAGCCUGGGUGUGUGGGAAGUUGGUGUCGGCUUGCUGUUUCCCAUGCCUUUUCUCCUGGCUAGGAACCCCACUUGUCUCUUUUAACCAAUAACUUAGCUUGGACUUGAAUGCUUGAUUGGAACAGCAAGUCUCCAGCUUUCUGCAGAGGUCUUCAUAUGAUGAAGUUUCUGAGCUGAGGAUUCUAACUGAGACUUCCAGCUCUCAGCUGAACUUCAGACGUGGUCUUUACAGUCACAGCUGCUGGCAAGGCCCUGAAAAGCUCAGCUUGGAUCUGUCUAUCCCUACCAGGUUCUGGGGGAAAGGGGAGGAGAGCAGGCAGGACACUCCCAGUUUACAGCCCAGGGAUGCUGAGUCCUAGGGGAAAAGGUAUUGCUCAUCACCCUUGAACCCUAGAAGUGGCAGGACCUCAGGGGAAUUCAAAGUUGUCUUCCUCUUGGGAAAGAUAAACACUUAUGCCACUGGUUCUCCUGUUCCUGGACACGCCACUCCCCUCUUCCCAGACUCACACACCCCCUAAGUGCACCCCAGUGAAUGGUGCUGCUCUGGGUACCCCACAGACAAGCACUGGGGAGCAGCCACUAAAGACAUGGGUCCUGGUUCCAGCUGCUGAUUUUGAUUAGGGGUGUGACCUUGGCCCUCUUCAUCCCCCUCUGCUCUUCCCCUGUUCGUUCACAACUGUUUUUGUUAAUAUUCAUGGUGCAUUAUGUAACUAUCGUUCACGUUGAGCCAAGUAGUGUACUAGACUUGCUUGGUUGCUUUCAUUCUCCUUUUAUUUUCCCUGAAGCCAAUGAUCAACUCAUUUUCAUGUGCUUGGUGUUCUUUGCACAGAUGAUUAAGUUUUCCUAUACCUACCUGCAGCCUCUCAAGACAAUUUUCCACAAGAUUGAACAGAUCAGAAAAUCCACCAGGAGCAGUUUCUUCUUGUUCUUGGAGACAUCCCCUCUGAAGGUCUCUGACGUUCCAGUUCAAUUCCCUGCUUGGACAACAGCAUAACUAUCAUCUGGGCUUUCCUUCACCUCCAGCUUGGAGGAUUUCUUUACUUCUCUCAUCCAUUGGAUCCACUGCUUCCUGAAGCAGACGCCUUUCCCUCCUUGGUUUCAUCUCUUCUUUUAUUGGUGCACAGCCCCCAGAAACUGUCUGCUAAUGCAGGGAUGACAUCUGGGGGUUAAGCUAGCAGGACAAAGGAGCUUCUGCCAUUUCUCUUCUGGAUAAUCAUCCCCCAACAAACAACAACAGCAGCAAAUAAAUAAAACAAGAAGAAUGUGAAAGAGAAAUGCAAAUUUCAUUUUUUACAAAAUAAGCAGGCAGAUACAACCCAGUACUGCAAAGAGUGGAAAAUAGGUGAGAGAGAGCCAAAGGGCCUUGCUCUGCUAGAUGUCUGCAGCAGGGUAGAAGCUGAUCUACCAGGCAGAGACCCAGAGUAGCUCAGGAAGACACCACACAAGGCAAGGUGAGGUGUGGCAGGUCACAGGUGGCAGGCCUCCGUGGGGAACAGCUAGGCCCCCAGGUUCCCACCCCUGAGCCUGACAUCUUCCCCUGUCUUUUGGAAGAUGGAAAGAGGAUCCAGGUGAGGGCCAAGGUGA